GAGGCAACAUGCCGAGGUCGAGCGUAUUUAUAUUGUAGCGGCGACGCCGGCGAGAGCCAGUGUCCCAGUGAACUAUAAAUGUCUGUAUUAAUGAUCUAGUGUUUGUGGUGAAGUAUAUUAUUUUUAAUAGCAGAAAUUUCUGUACUCAGUGUAAUCUGUAGUCAGUAAUGUCAGUUCGUAUUGUUUCCGAGACGUUUUAUAUAAUCAGUCAUUCCAAGCUUUUGUCAAACUAUUGGUAUUUCUCACUUAUGCAGUUAUGGCAUUUCAUUGAUAAACUGUAAAAUAUUAUAUUUAAUAGUGAGAAAUAUUUAGAUGUCGGCCAUAGUUCUGUUUGCAUAUUACUUACUGUAAAGUCAUUAGACAUGCAGCAACUUCUGGAGCACGUGGCCAGCACGCAGUCGACUUGAACCCGUCCUGUUUUCUCAUUGGCUUUCUAAAUCUGGAAAUGAUCUCGAAUGUCAGGUGACAACAAUUUCUUGCAAGCUGUUCAUUUUUGUUUCAUUUCGAUUUUCGAAGGCGGUUUAUUUUGUUUUGUAUUAAAUGUACAACGGAAAAUGGGUAGAAAAUUGAAUUAUUAAAAGCAAAGAAAAAAGAUCUGUACUAAAGCCACCAUUCAAGGAAUUAAGCCAUGGAAAAUUAUCCACGCGAAAACAACAAAAUUUACUGUCGUGGCUUGUAAUAUAUAAAAACAAACGCCAUACAACUUCCUUAUAGAUCAUCAAC